UGACUCCUGUAUUUUAUUUCUCAUAUAUUAUUUGGAUUUGUGUAGAUGUAUAGUACAUUGUGAGAGCAUCAGCAUUAGUGAACCCCAUCAAAGGAGUUCAGAAAGCAUUUUUUAUUAUUAUUUUUUUUCUGUUUGAUUUUUGUUUUUUUUUUAAAAAAAAAAAUUAUUAAUCGGACCAAUCGAGGACCGCCACGUGUCGUGGGGCCGGCGCUACAGUGAUGAUCCGGGUUCAGUGCAGUGAACUCCCAAGAGACAGGUUCAGUGUUUUUGUUUAUUUUAAUUUUUUUUUUUCGAAAACUGUGUGAACUCCCCGUGGAGUUCACUGAUGCUGAUGCUCUGAGAGUGUAACCAAAUAGAUAGUAUCACUAAGAGUUUUCUUUCUUUUUUUUUGAAGAAAAUCAUUUUAUUAUAUCAAUUCCUAAACUAUAUUAGAAACGUUACACUCGUGAAUCGUUUUUUGCUUACUACUGUUUUCAAAACGUUGCAUUAUUUUAUUACCGCUUACCUUCCUUAAUCGCUAAAAAAAUACUUGUUUCGUUUUCGAUCAUUAGUCGAAUAAGUCUUUAGAAACAUCAGCUAACGCUGUGUUUUUACUUUUAUAUACGAAUGGCACAGUCAUGUAGCCCAGAAGAGUAGCGUAAUUGGGUUUUUAUAAUAAUAAUGCUCAGAUCUGGUUCGUCAAAAGACCGCCAAUGCUGUAAAGAAUAGUAUUCAUCAUGUGUACGACUGUACGUGGGAGGAAGUGACUCAACAAUCAUCUACUACUAUAGUAUAGUGUUAAUAAAAUAAAGCAAUAGUAAUUAUGCAAAUGGGAAUAAUCACAAACAAUUAGGAGGAAUCUCGGGAAAACAAAAGAGUUUAGCAAAGAGUUAAAACUUCCACUGCAAUUCCCGAGAGCAAAUUUUUAAAGAUACAGUUGAACUUUUUAACGGUAACUUUUAGAACCGUUGAUUAAGAUUUAGAUGAAUGCAGUUUCGCAGAGAUAGUGACACGUGUACGGGUAGAGAUCUUGGAAGGAGCGGCGAGCGAUGGUUUUUGCCGGUCCGGGUUGGGGGCAAAAGUGGGUCCGUGUUUGUCUGACAAACUCACGUGGUCCUUCACAGUGCCCCCCUACUGCUUGUGGACUGGACCGUCUUGUUGUUUUCUUUUGGAUUCGUUAGCAUGGUACUUCUUUUAAACUCUCAUUUUCUGUUUUUGUUAAGUUUUCUAAUUUAUGAAAAAGUUAUUAACACUUCAGGGUCAGUUUCCAUGUUUUUAUUACACUGUAGGGCAGUUUCAUCUACCAAAGUAGUUUUUAUAGGUUAUUUAUAUACUUAUCCCUAACUAAUUGUUAAUGUGCAGGUCAAUUCUUAUAUUAAUUUUUGAAAUGAUAUUAAAUUUUAUAAUUGACAAAAAGCAGACAAUUACUUUUUAUUUCCAACCACGGAUUCACAUUUCUCGACAGUGAAAAAAAUUUAUUUGGGUAACUGACAUAUAAGUAUUUGAUGGAGAAGAGCUAUGGCAAUUUGGAUAUAAUAUGCCAAAGCUUGAAAUUAAAACAUGUUUUCAGUUUUUUUUCUUGGUUUUGGAUUCUAAUCGGUUAAUCUAUAUAAUAUUUGUAAGUUCUACAGAUAAAACGCAAAAACAAUGAAGAUUGCAUGAUGAAAAUCAAUGGCGGCCGUGAGUUAUAUUUGCAGAAAACGCAGAAAACCCUAAUAUGAAAUUAUUACAAAAUUGCCACUCAUUAAAAGAAGUUUUUUUUUUAAGAUUGGAUAACCACGUGGAUGUGUACAUAAUGUUAGUGUACACAUGUUAGGGUACACGAGUACAUUGGAUGACCACGUGGAUGUGUACAUAAUGUUAGUGUAUGCAUGUAUAGUUUGAAUGUAAUGUACACACGACUUUUUUAUUAAUGUUGUAAAAUUACGAAAAUAACCUCAUCUUCUUCCUUAGCCAUUGUCGACCAGAAACCCUAAUCUCCGCAUAUCUCGCCUAUUUUUCACUAUUUUUUACAUUCUCAACUUGUUUUUUUAUAUAUUUUUACCCAAAUGUGAUAGCUUUCAAUCCUAAUUAUUGGCAAUAAUGAGUCAGAGUAAGAAAAUGUUUAUGGUAGUUCAUAGACGAGAGUCCUCAACGUCUCUACUGUUGAUGUUGCCGUCGAAUACGCAUCACUACAGCACCAUCAGUCAUGUAUCUUCAUAUAUCUCAAAAGAUAGCUUAGGAAAAAAGACAAUGAUUAAAGAUAACUUCUCUGGAAAAAUAAAUUUGAAAAAAUCAGAUUUUAUUUUCGAAAAUUAUAGAGAAGUAUAAAGGGAAAGAGGAAGAAGAAAGUUACACAGUCCCAUUUUAUUCUAGUUAGUGUAAUGGGUAUUAGAUGUCAAUGUUAUUUAGUUAGUUUAUGAGUGAAAAUGAGAUUUAAUUAGAAAAAAUAUCUGAGUAGUAAUAAAUGCUUUAUUGUGUUAAUAAAACACAUAAACUGUUUUUCAGUGUAAUUCUUUCGUUAUUUAAACGGGAUAUAAAGUUAGAAUGGAUUAAUAACUAAGGACGUAAACAAUAAAUGCUUACAGUAGUCAGAACAAAUGAGGAAUCAGGAAAACCUCUUUUUCUCUCUUUAAAAUUUUUAAAAUCAAUCAAAUUAAAUAUUUAUCUAUUUUCUCUUACCUAUAAUAUAAUAUUUUUUUUGUUUGUUUUUCUAGUUUUCUAAUUUUCGUAUAUUUUUACUUUGUGUUCUAUUGAAGCUUUCGAAGUAUGAGAUAAUACUUUUAUAAACAUUUUUUUAGAGAUUAAAGCUCAUGACUUUUCAUUUCUACUAAUCCCAAUAGUGUUAUCGCUAUUUUCUUUUUGUUUCGGAGGAUGUCAAAUUCUGGAGGUGUUGAGUGGAUUUCGUGUUCACUGGUUAAUGCUUCAUUCAUCUCUCAAGAUGGAAAGGCGUCUCGACAAAUAUUCUACCCCCGAAAUCUGUCGUUGAUCUCUAGGUUUAUGCUCUGGUGACUAUAUUGAGAAUCCUGCCAUCUGGUUUCCACGAUAUGAAGCAGAAUAAAUAAAUGGUGGUACUUAGACGAAGCAUCCAUGUGGCGUUGGGGACAUAAAGCUUCGCCACCGGUGAAGAUCCAUCACAGAGAUUUUGGAGGCGGCGAUGCUUCAGAGACCUGCUCUGAACAAGACAUGUGUUCUUGAGGUGUCGAUGAUAAGAUUAAACGAAUAAAAAAUAAAACAAAAAGAUGAUACGAUUAAACGUGUGUGCUCACGUGUCUUAGGCUCAUCAUUUUUUUUUUUAAAAGGCUCAUCAUUUUGUAUUUUAUUCGUUUUUUUUGUUUGAUACCAAAACUUUGCUUUUAU